rnacentral:rRNA from 1 species
AGAUUAAGUUAUUAAGGGCGCACGGUGGAUGCCUUGGCACUAGAAGCCGAUGAAGGACGUUACUAACGACGAUAUGCUUUGGGGAGCUGUAAGUAAGCUUUGAUCCAGAGAUUUCCGAAUGGGGAAACCCAGCACGAGUUAUGUCG